rnacentral:rRNA from 1 species
UACGUAGGAGGCGAGCGUUGUCCGGAAUUACUGGGCGUAAAGAGCGCGUAGGCGGCGCUGUACGACCGCUGUGAAAGCCCCCGGCUCAACUGGGGAGGGUCAGCGGUUGCGGCAGUGCUCGGAGUCUAGGAGAGGGGAGUGGAACUCCGGGAGUAGCGGUGAAAUGCGUAGAGACCCGGAGGAACACCAGUGGCGAAGGCGGCUCCCUGGCCUAGUACUGACGCUGUGGCGCGAAAGCUGGGGGAGCGAACGGG